GGCGUUGCGGGCGGCCUUGGCCAGGCGGGCCUGGUUCAUGCCGAAGCGCCGGGAGUAUUCGCGCAGAUCGGGCAGGAGCCCGGCCUGCUGGCGCUCC
rnacentral:tRNA from 1 species